AGAGAGAGAUACAGAUUGGGUUCACUUUCCCAGAACCUCUUUGCUAAUCUCAGUUUUCCACUUUACAGUUAACACUCCUCUCUGCGUCCCAUCUCUCUCUAACUUUCUACGUAACAACACUCUCUCUCCUCUCUCUCAAUAAGAACUUGAAGAUUAGUGGAUUGGGCAAGCUGAAGAUAACAUGCUGAAAUAUUGGGGUUGAGCUUAAUUUGGAUUCUCUUCGCGCUCUCAAUGUUCUGAGGAUUUGAAUCAUCAGUUAUUAUUUUGAGAGGUAAAGAAGAUAGCAGAGUGUGUUACAGCCCUUGGUUGUUGGCCAUUUUUAAUUUGCAGGAUUUGAAUCAUCAGUCAUUAUUUGAGAGGUAAAGGAGGUAUCAGUGUGUUGCGGCCCUUGGUUGGUGGACAAGUUUAAUUUACAGGAUCUUUCGAGGGAGGAAAUCUUCACAUCAAGUUGUCUUGGCAAAGAUUACCUCCACCAUCACUACGGUUUUGGAUUGUUAAUGGUGGUUAUCUGGUUUUGAUUUUGGGUUUGAUUUGUAAUGGGUCCAUUGGGCUAGGCUUGCAUGCCUUUCUUUGCUCUUUGUUGGGCUUUGGUUAUGUCCUUUAGGACUGGUUUUGGCUGAAGGCCCGUUUUCAUGCAUGUGCAUCGAUUAAUGUGUUACUUUUGAUCAGCAACGGUUUCUCGAUACAUCCGUACACGUCAUUUUUUACCCACAUAAAUACUAGGAUGUAUCGAACUUUCAGCUCUCUGUCGCAAAUCAAAAUAGAUAUAUGAUAGAUGAAAGGUGUAACAGCCACCUCGUUGUAGUUUCUGCUGAUCACCGGAUUGCAGACUGGUUCCAGUCGGGUGUAUUUCUUCCUUUGGGGAUGUUGGACUCCAUUGAGUUUGUUGCUUCUUUUUGGGCUGGGCUGGCUCUCAUUGGGCUGGGCUUUGUACUAUCAACAUAGCCUUCCUCAGGCUAUUAUUGUACAUCUUUUCUUUUAUAUAUUUAAUUUAACUUUACCUUUAAAAAAAAAAAAAAAAAAUUUCAUAUCCAUGUUUGAUAAUAUUGUAAUCUCAGCAUUCAAUGUGUAUUCCUGAAUAAUCUCAUUUUUCAAUUAUUCAACCAUUUCAUUUUACCAAGUUUAAUGUUAGUCAGAUUAGUCAACAUUUAUAUAUUUUGAUGCAACGAUAAGAUGUUAUUUGUAACAAGUUGUUUUGUUGGUUGGUUGUCAGAAUUGAGAAAUUCUAUGUCUCGGAUCUUUAGUAUUCUUUUAUUUUAAGAGAGAAUGUGCAUCAACCGUACAAAAGUUGAACAAAACUUCAGUGCAUUUAAAAUGUGACGAUAUAAGGGGACAGCUUGUAACGAUUCUAAUACACUCAAUUUUACCCUCAGACCCCACUCA